rnacentral:SRP_RNA from 2 species
GCUGGGUGUGGUGGCUCACACCUGUAAUCCCAGCACUUUGGGAGGCUGAGGUGGGUGGAUCACUUGAGGUCAGGAAUUUGAGACCAGCCUGGCCAAUAUAGUGAAACCCCACCUCUA